UUUCCAAGCUCCAUGGAGGAAACCUGCCAUGGCGCGUUGUAGACUAAAGGGGCGCUAUCUUGCGUGGGCCAGGUAUAAAUCCGUUGGAAAACGGUAUCAUGGAGGGUGAGAAUCCCGUCUUUGACCUGGUCAAUAUCCACGCAUGUACGUUGCGCUUCCGACGAGUCGGGUUGUUUGGGAAUGCAGCCCAAAAUGGGUGGUAAAUUUCAUCUAAAGCUAAAUACAGGCACGAGACCGAUAGCGAACAAGUACCAUGAGGGAAAGGUGAAAAGAACUUUGAAAAGAGAGUCAAAAAGUACGUGAAACCGUUAAAGGGGAAACGAAUGGGGCUAGCAAUUUGCCUGGGCAGCAAUCAGCCGGCGGGGGCUUGUGGAGGACAUACUUUGUGGCUGGCGACAGGAGCGAUCCUGCGGACAGCCAUGGGUCUCUUUUUUCCAUGUCCCUGGCGGUGCACUUGCGGUUCUGUGGCAGGCCAGCAUCAGUUUGGCCUGGCGCACAAAGGGCACGGGAAGGUAGUUGCGGCGCUCCGGCGUCGUAAUGUUAUAACCCGUGGUUUUUUUGAUCAUGCGCCGGGAAAGACUGAGGAGUAGCAGCGCGCAACACUUCGGAGAGCCACCGCUCGGGCUGCGGGUGUGGAAGGACUGUGCCUCGUCGCCCUUUACGGGGAGGCGGGCGCUGCAGUCGUCCACGCCGCCAAUCUGUGACGUCACAGGGAAUUUAUUUUUCCUGGGGCGGCGCGGAGAUCUGCAGCCUGAAACGGGGUGUACCCAGACCACGCGCUUGUGAUGCUGGCGGAAAAUGGCCUCAUCCGACCUGUCUUGAAACACGGACCAAGGAGUCUAACAUAUGCGCGAGUCUUUGGGUUGAAAGCCCGCAGGCGAAAUGAAAGUGAAGGCACGCUUGGCGUGCUGAGGUGAGACGCGAGGCCAGGCCCGCCUGUCAAAGGGGGGGCGUGGGCGAGCAGCAUCAUCGACCGAUCCGGAUGGCUCUGUCCUGAAAGAUUUGAGUAAGAGCGUAUCUGUUGGGACCCGAAAGAUGGUGAACUAUGCCUGAACAGGGUGAAGUCUGAGGAAACUCAGAUGGAAGCUCGUAGCGAUUCUGACGUGCAAAUCGAUCGUCUGAUUUGGGUAUAGGGGCGAAAGACUAAUCGAACCAUCUAGUAGCUGGUUCCCUCCGAAGUUUCCCUCAGGAUAGCUGGAACUAACAAAACGCAGUUUUAUCAGGUAAAGCGAAUGAUUAGAGGCCUUGGGGUUGAAAUAACCUCAACCUAUUCUCAAACUUUAAAUAGGUAAGAAGCCUGGCUUGCUUAACUGAAGCCAGGCAGACUGAAUGCAAGUUCCAAGUGGGCCAUUUUUGGUAAGCAGAACUGGCGAUGCGGGAUGAACCGAACGCAAAGUUAAAGUGCCAAAGUUCACGCUCACCUAGAACCCAGAAAAGGUGUUGGCUGAUGAAGACAGCAGGACGGUGGCCAUGGAAGUCGGAACCCGCUAAGGAGUGUGUAACAACUCACCUGCCGAAUCAGCCAGCCCUGAAAAUGGAUGGCGCUCAAGCGUGACACUCAUACUUUGCCGUUGCCCUUUUAUAACAAGCAUAUAUUUUACUAUAUAUGUCAAACGAAAAAGGGCAACGAGUAGGAGGGCGUGGAGGUCGUGAAGCAGCUUAGGGCGUAAGCCUGAGUGAAACGGCC
rnacentral:rRNA from 1 species